AUUCAUGAGUGGUUCAUUUACUUAUUUCAGGUGUGUGAAGAUAGUCUUUAACUGGCAAAGGGACACAACAGAUGCUUUUCAAUUCCAUUAAACUCUAUGCAUUAAAUCCUGCUUCUCAACGUGGUGCCAAUGGCCUGGAACUGAAAGUAAACCAUUUUGUUCAGUGUAAUAAGGAGUAAGGAGACUUGGCUUAUCUUCUCUUCACCACCACCAUGAUGUAUACUGUUGCCAGUCUUCAGAUAAACUCAGCUUUGCUCAUACUGCACGUGAGAUGUGGGAAAGGAAUUGGAAGACACUUUUUGAGGGCUGUAUGUGAUUAAUCACUGGCUGAUAUUCCCUCCACUUUGUUUUGGGUUUAUUGCAUGAGGCUCCUGACUAAUCCCCCUGGAGGGCUGUAAUUUGUAACAAAGUUGAAGCGAAGGAUAUUAUUUUCAAGCAAAACAAUGUAGCACAAAAGAACACAAACAAGGAAAUACACACAGGGCAGAUCCUUUGGAAGUAAAUAGAUAAAAAUUCAAUUUGAUGUGGUUAAUUGCACUCGGAAGGGCUUUUCCUGCCUUAAAGAAAAUCUGCUUCGGUUCCCUUUAGAUAUGGAUAAUGUUUAAUGGGAGACCUG
rnacentral:lncRNA from 1 species